AGUAAUAUGGUGCUUACUGUGGAGUUAACUUUAGUGUACCUAAUCUGCUGAUUAUCAGAUAUUUGACUCUCUGCUAGUUUUAUUGUGUAUGUGAACCUGCGCUGCCUGCCCUGUCCUUUGGCUUUCUCUGACUACGUGUCCAUUUUUUCCUUCGGUACCUCACUUUGGCUCAUUCCUGCUCCUACUGUCAAAUAUUUAACAGAUAGCUAACAAGCCUAGACUGCCCAUGUUUUCU